rnacentral:rRNA from 1 species
UGGGGAAUAUUGCACAAUGGGCGCAAGCCUGAUGCAGCCAUGCCGCGUGUGUGAAGAAGGCCUUCGGGUUGUAAAGUACUUUCAGUCGGGAGGAAGGUGGUAAGGUUAAUAACCUUAUCAAUUGACGUUACCGACAGAAGAAGCACCGGCUAACUCCGUGCCAGCAGCCGCGGUAAUACGGAGGGUGCAAGCGUUAAUCGGAAUUACUGGGCGUAAAGCGCACGCAGGCGGUUGAUUGAGUCAGAUGUGAAAUCCCCGGGCUUAACCCGGGAAUUGCAUCUGAUACUGGUCAGCUAGAGUCUUGUAGAGGGGGGUAGAAUUCCAUGUGUAGCGGUGAAAUGCGUAGAGAUCUGGAGGAAUACCGGUGGCGAAGGCGGCCCCCUGGACGAAGACUGACGCUCAGGUGCGAAAGCGUGGGGAGCAAACAGG